AACGAACGCUGGCGGCAUGCCUAACACAUGCAAGUCGAACGAGACCUUCGGGUCUAGUGGCGCACGGGUGCGUAACGCGAGGGAACCUGCCCUUAGGUUCGGAAUAACUCUCCGACAGGGGUGAUAAUACCGGAUAAUGUCUACUGACCAAAGAUUUAUCGACUUUGGAUGGGCCCGCGUUGAAUUAGCUAGUUGGUAGGGUAAAAGCCUACUAAGGCGACGAUCCAUAGCUGGUCUGAGAGGAUGAUCAGCCACACUGGGACUGAGACACGGCCCAGACUCCUACGGGAUGCAGCAGUGGGGAAUAUUGGACAAUGGGCGAAAGCCUGAUCCAGCUAUGCCGCGUGAGUGAUGAAGGCCUUAGAGUUGUAAAGCGCUAUUACCCGGGAUGAUAAUGACAGUACCGGGAGAAUAAGCUCCGGCUAACUCCGUG
rnacentral:rRNA from 1 species